rnacentral:rRNA from 1 species
UGCGUAGGCGGAAUGAUAAGUCAGUGGUGAAAACCUUCAGCUUAACUGGAGACUUGCCAUUGAUACUGUUAGUCUUGAGUACGGUCAAGGUAGGCGGAAUGUGUAAUGUAGCGGUGAAAUGCUUAGAUAUUACACAGAACACCGAUUGCGAAGGCAGCUUACUGGACCAUUACUGACGCUGAGGCACGAAAGCGUGGGGAGCGAACAGGAUUAGAUACCCUGGUAGUC